AUUGAACGCUGGCGGCAUGCCUUACACAUGCAAGUCGAACGGCAGCACGGGUGCUUGCACCUGGUGGCGAGUGGCGAACGGGUGAGUAAUACAUCGGAACAUGUCCUGUAGUGGGGAUAGCCCGGCGAAAGCCGGAUUAAUACCGCAUACGAUCUACGGAUGAAAGCGGGGGACCUUCGGGCCUCGCGCUAUAGGGUUGGCCGAUGGCUGAUUAGCUAGUUGGUGGGGUAAAGGCCUACCAAGGCGACGAUCAGUAGCUGGUCUGAGAGGACGACCAGCCACACUGGGACUGAGACACGGCCCAGACUCCUACGGGAGGCAGCAGUGGGGAAUUUUGGACAAUGGGCGAAAGCCUGAUCCAGCAAUGCCGCGUGUGUGAAGAAGGCCUUCAGGUUGUAAAGCACUUUUGUCCGGAAAGAAAUCCUUGGCCCUAAUACGGUCGGGGGAUGACGGUACCGGAAGAAUAAGCACCGGCUAACUACGUG
rnacentral:rRNA from 1 species